UACGGGGGGGGCAAGCGUUGUUCGGAAUUACUGGGCGUAAAGGGCUCGUAGGCGGCCAACUAAGUCAUACGUGAAAUCCCUCGGCUUAACCGGGGAACUGCGUCUGAUACUGGAUGGCUUGAGAUUGGGAGAGGGAUGCGGAAUUCCAGGUGUAGCGGUGAAAUGCGUAGAUAUCGGGAGGAACACCAGUGGCGAAGGCGACUACCUGGCCUGUUCUUGACGCUGAGGCGCGAAAGCCAGGGGAGCAAACGGG
rnacentral:rRNA from 1 species